GGUCACUCUUUACGGGAGGCAGCAGUGGGGAAUUUUGGACAAUGGGGGCAACCCUGAUCCAGCAAUGCCGCGUGUGUGAAGAAGGCCUUCGGGUUGUAAAGCACUUUUGUCCGGAAAGAAAACCUCCGUCCUAAUACGGUGGGGGGAUGACGGUACCGGAAGAAUAAGCACCGGCUAACUACGUGCCAGCAGCCGCGGUAAUACGUAGGGUGCAAGCGUUAAUCGGAAUUACUGGGCGUAAAGCGUGCGCAGGCGGUUCGCUAAGACCGAUGUGAAAUCCCCGGGCUUAACCUGGGAACUGCAUUGGUGACUGGCGGGCUAGAGUAUGGCAGAGGGGGGUAGAAUUCCACGUGUAGCAGUGAAAUGCGUAGAGAUGUGGAGGAAUACCGAUGGCGAAGGCAGCCCCCUGGGCCAAUACUGACGCUCAUGCACGAAAGCGUGGGGAGCAAACAGGAUUAGAUACCCUGGUAGUCCACGCCCUAAACGAUGUCAACUAGUUGUCGGGUCUUCAUUGACUUGGUAACGAAGCUAACGCGUGAAGUUGACCGCCUGGGGAGUACGGUCGCAAGAUUAAAACUCAAAGGAAUUGACG
rnacentral:rRNA from 1 species